GAUGAACGCUGGCGGCGUGCCUAAUACAUGCAAGUCGAGCGAACGGACGAGAAGCUUGCUUUUCUGAUGUUAGCGGCGGACGGGUGAGUAACACGUGGAUAACCUACCUAUAAGACUGGGAUAACUUCGGGAAACCGGAGCUAAUACCGGAUAAUAUUUUGAACCGCAUGGUUCAUAAGUGAAAGACGGUCUUGCUGUCACUUAUAGAUGGAUCCGCGCUGCAUUAGCUAGUUGGUAAGGUAACGGCUUACCAAGGCAACGAUGCAUAGCCGACCUGAGAGGGUGAUCGGCCACACUGGAACUGAGCCACGGUCCAGACUCCUACGGGAGGCAGCAGUAGGGAAUCUUCCGCAAUGGGCGAAAGCCUGACGGAGCAACGCCGCGUGAGUGAUGAAGGUCUUCGGAUCGUAAAACUCUGUUAUUAGGGAAGAACAUAUGUGUAAGUAACUGUGCACAUCUUGACGGUACCUAAUCAGAAAGCCACGGCUAACUCCGUG
rnacentral:rRNA from 1 species